rnacentral:rRNA from 1 species
CGGGCUUGAACUGUGUCGGACCGGCAGAGAGAUCUGCUUUCCCUUCGGGGCCGGCAUGGAGGUGCUGCAUGGUUGUCGUCAGCUCGUGCCGUGAGGUGUCGGCUUAAGUGCCAUAACGAGCGCAACCCUUGUCCACAGUUGCCAUCAGUUCGGCUGGGCACUCUGUGGAGACUGCCAUCGCAAGAUGUGAGGAAGGUGGGGAUGACGUCAAAUCAGCACGGCCCUUACGUCCGGGGCUACACACGUGUUACAAUGGGGGGUACAGAAGGCAGCUUGCCGGCGACGGUUGGCCAAUCCCCAAACCCUCUCUCAGUUCGGACUGGAGUCUGCAACCCGACUCCACGAAGCUGGAUUCGCUAGUAAUCGCGCAUCAGCCAUGGCGCGGUGAAUACGUUCCCGGGCC